GACGAACGCUGGCGGCGUGCCUAAUACAUGCAAGUCGAGCGGACGGAUGGGAGCUUGCUCCCAGACCGUCAGCGGCGGACGGGUGAGUAACACGUGGGCAACCUGCCUGUAAGACUGGGAUAACUCCGGGAAACCGGGGCUAAUACCGGAUAACUCUUUCCCUCACAUGAGGGAAAGCUGAAAGAUGGCAUCUCGCUAUCACUUACAGAUGGGCCCGCGGCGCAUUAGCUAGUUGGUAAGGUAACGGCUCACCAAGGCGACGAUGCGUAGCCGACCUGAGAGGGUGAUCGGCCACACUAGGACUGAGACACGGCCCAGACUCCUACGGGAGGCAGCAGUAGGGAAUCUUCCGCAAUGGACGAGAGUCUGACAGAGCAGCGCCGCGUGAGUGAUGAAGGUUUUCGGAUCGUAAAGCUCUGUUGUCAGGGAAGAACAAGUACCGGAGUAACUGCCGGUACCUUGACGGUACCUGACCAGAAAGCCACGGCUAACUACGUG
rnacentral:rRNA from 1 species